GCACUUCCUUUUCUGUGUUUCCGGGGGAAUAGGAAGAAGGGCUAAUUACAGCUAAUGGAGGAUGGUCGUCGUGUUCUGGGAGAUGUUCGCUUUGUGUGCUUGAUAUUGAAGUCACAGCAGUGUUAAACUGUGAGGAAUUUGAUGUGAGGCUCAUCAUAUUAAACUCACUUACUGGCCAAAGUAGGAGAGGGUGAUCACUCCAAAGCUUUAGAUGACGUCUUCCAAACGAUGUUUGACGGGAUAGCUGGAACCUUUUUGGAUCUGUACAGAUGACACUAAUAUAAAUUAAUUAUCAUCCGUGAUUUGAUUCGAAAGUGUUUUGCUGGAAUUUGAUCCUGGAACCUGUUUGGCUGAGGAGAAAAUUGGGUUUACCGAGUCUACAGUAUCUUUGCAUGGAAGAAAAGAAUUGGCUGCUGCUUCAGUGACGCAGAUUUUUGAGAUGGGUACUUCCAAUAUUGUAAGAAGCAGCGAUAUGAAACCGAAAUUCAUCAUUUCUGUUUCAAACAAGUAAUUAAUCAAACUUGUUUACGUAAUUGGAGAGAAUAUAGAAACUCUCGCAAAGAUGGUGGAAGUCUAUUGAAAAAGUGUUUAUACCAUUAAAAAAGACCGAAGGGCAGGAGGCCAGCUAAGCUUGUACUAACCUGUUUUGAUCUUCACCAAAGCCUUAUCGAGGGAUUUUCUUUU